rnacentral:rRNA from 1 species
AACGAACGCUGGCGGCAUGCCUAACACAUGCAAGUCGAACGAGACCUUCGGGUCUAGUGGCGCACGGGUGCGUAACGCGUGGGAACCUGCCCUUAGGUUCGGAAUAACUCCCCGAAAGGGGUGCUAAUACCGGAUAAUGUCUUCGGACCAAAGAUUUAUCGCCUUUGGAUGGGCCCGCGUUGGAUUAGCUAGUUGGUAGGGUAAAAGCCUACCAAGGCGACGAUCCAUAGCUGGUCUGAGAGGAUGAUCAGCCACACUGGGACUGAGACACGGCCCAGACUCCUACGGGAGGCAGCAGUGGUGAAUAUUGGACAAGGGGCGAAAGCCUGAUCCAGCAAUGCCGCGUGAGUGAUGAAGGCCUUAGGGUUGUAAAGCUCUUUUACCCGGGAUGAUAAUGACAGUACCGGGAGAAUAAGCGCCGGCUAACUCCGUG